CCACCCACUCUCAAUAGUCCAAUCAGCAGCAAAGUAUGCAAGCUACUUCCUUUUCACUUCUGCGUCUCGUUUGCAGUUAGCGAGCCAUGCGGUUCCGAUUCUGUGGAGAUUUGGACUGCCCCGAUUGGGUGCUUGCCGAAAUCAGCACUCUGGCGAAAAUUUCUAGUGUCAAAAUGAAACUCCUUUGUGCCCAAGUAUUGAAAGGUCUGCUCGGGGAGGGCAUUGAUUAUGACAAAGUUACAAAGCUUACAGCUGAUGCCAAGUUUGACAGUGGAGACAUUAAAGCCAGUGUGGCCGUGCUCAGCUUCAUUUUGUCCAGUGCGGCAAAGCAUGAUGUCGACAGUGAAUCUUUGUCCAGUGAGCUGCAGCAGCUUGGCCUGCCUAAAGAACACACAAUGGGGCUGUGCAAGUCGUAUGAGGACAAGCAUUCCGCAGUGCAAGACAAACUGAGAGAGACCAGCUUGAGAUUGGGCCGACUGGAGGCAGUCUCCUGGAGGGUGGACUACACGCUGAGCUCCAGCGAGAUGAAGGAAGUCAACGAAGGGGUCGUUCAGCUAAAGCUGCAGGCUUCAGGAGCCGAGUCAGGUUCCUCACAAACCACUGUGGUCUCGCUAUCUGCUGACAAAUUCAGAGUCUUGCUUUCAGAGCUCAAACAAGCCCAGGCUAUGAUGAAUGCUUUACAAUGACCAACAGAGUCAAUUCCCACCUCCUCAAGUUCCAAAACGGGACACAAAUGCUAUUUUCCAUGUGUGUGUGAGAGAGAGAGAGAGAGAGAAUUUCUAUAAUUAAAUAUGCAGCUUGUUUGUUGAAUUGGUA